rnacentral:rRNA from 1 species
UGGUGGAGUGAUUUGUCUGGUUAAUUCUGAUAACGAACGAGACCCCAUUUUACUAAAUAGUUGGAUUUAAAGCACUUGUUGCUUAGAUUGCAACUUCUUAGAGGAACAAAUCAGGUUUUACUGGUUGGGAGGUUUGGGGGUCGAAUAACA